UUUAAGUUAGUAGAAUUAAUAUGUUUGAUUUAGGAUCAAAAGUUGUCGUUGAAUAAGGUCACUUAAAA
rnacentral:tRNA from 1 species